rnacentral:rRNA from 1 species
AGCGAACAGACGAGGAGCUUGCUCCUCUGACGUUAGCGGCGGACGGGUGAGUAACACGUGGAUAACCUACCUAUAAGACUGGGAUAACUUCGGGAAACCGGAGCUAAUACCGGAUAAUAUAUUGAACCGCAUGGUUCAAUAGUGAAAGACGGUUUUGCUGUCACUUAUAGAUGGAUCCGCGCCGCAUUAGCUAGUUGGUAAGGUAACGGCUUACCAAGGCAACGAUGCGUAGCCGACCUGAGAGGGUGAUCGGCCACACUGGAACUGAGACACGGUCCAGACUCCUACGGGAGGCAGCAGUAGGGAAUCUUCCGCAAUGGGCGAAAGCCUGACGGAGCAACGCCGCGUGAGUGAUGAAGGUCUUCGGAUCGUAAAACUCUGUUAUUAGGGAAGAACAAAUGUGUAAGUAACUAUGCACGUCUUGACGGUACCUAAUCAGAAAGCCACGGCUAACUACGUGCCAGCAGCCGCGGUAAUACGUAGGUGGCAAGCGUUAUCCGGAAUUAUUGGGCGUAAAGCGCGCGUAGGCGGUUUUUUAAGUCUGAUGUGAAAGCCCACGGCUCAACCGUGGAGGGUCAUUGGAAACUGGAAAACUUGAGUGCAGAAGAGGAAAGUGGAAUUCCAUGUGUAGCGGUGAAAUGCGCAGAGAUAUGGAGGAACACCAGUGGCGAAGGCGACUUUCUGGUCUGUAACUGACGCUGAUGUGCGAAAGCGUGGGGAUCAAACAGGAUUAGAUACCCUGGU